rnacentral:rRNA from 1 species
AGGAAUAUUGGUCAAUGGGCGGAAGCCUGAACCAGCCAAGUCGCGUGAGGGAAGACGGUCCUAUGGAUUGUAAACCUCUUUUGCCGGGGAGCAAAGCCGGGCUCGUGAGCCCGGAAGGAGAGUACCCGGAGAAAAAGCAUCGGCUAACUCCGUGCCAGCAGCCGCGGUAAUACGGAGGAUGCGAGCGUUAUCCGGAUUUAUUGGGUUUAAAGGGUGCGUAGGCGGGAUCUUAAGUCAGCGGUAAAAAUGCGGGGCUCAACCCCGUAGUGCCGUUGAAACUGAGGUUCUUGAGUGGGCGAGAAGUAUGCGGAAUGCGUGGUGUAGCGGUGAAAUGCAUAGAUAUCACGCAGAACUCCGAUUGCGAAGGCAGCAUACCGGCGCCCAACUGACGCUGAGGCACGAAAGCGUGGGGAUCGAACAGGAUUAGAUACCCUGGUAGUCCACGCAGUAAACGAUGAAUGCUCGCUGUCCGGGACUACGGUCCUGGGUGGCCCAGCGAAAGCGAUAAGCAUUCCACCUGGGGAGUACGCCGGCAACGGUGAAACUCAAAGGAAUUGACGGGGGCCCGCACAAGCGGAGGAACAUGUGGUUUAAUUCGAUGAUACGCGAGGAACCUUACCCGGGCUCAAACGUUUCAGGACGAUGCUCGAAAGAGUAUUUCCCUUCGGGGUCUGAGACGAGGUGCUGCAUGGUUGUCGUCAGCUCGUGCCGUGAGGUGUCGGCUUAAGUGCCAUAACGAGCGCAACCCCUACCGACAGUUGCUAACAGGCAAAGCUGAGGACUCUGUCGGGACUGCCGGCGCAAGCUGAGAGGAAGGCGGGGAUGACGUCAAAUCAGCACGGCCCUUACGUCCGGGGCGACACACGUGUUACAAUGGCAGGUACAGCGGGAAGCCAUAUGGCGACAUAGAGCGGAACCCGAAAACCUGUCUCAGUUCGGAUUGGAGUCUGCAACCCGACUCCAUGAAGCUGGAUUCGCUAGUAAUCGCGCAUCAGCCACGGCGCGGUGAAUACGUUCCCG